GUUGCCAUCAGGUAAUGCUGAGCACUCUAGGGGAACUGCCGGUGACAAACCGGAGGAAGUGGGGAUGACGUCAAGUCAUCACGGCCCUUAUGUCCAGGGCUACACACGUGCUACAAUGGCCGGUACAAUGAGAAGCGAGACUGCGAGGUGGAGCAAAUCUCAAAAAACCGGUCUCAGUUCGGAUCGGAGUCUGCAACUCGACUCCGUGAAGUUGGAAUCGCUAGUAAUCGUGGAUCAGCACGCUACGGUGAAUACGUUCCCGGGCCUU
rnacentral:rRNA from 1 species